rnacentral:tRNA from 1 species
GGAGAGAUGGCAGAGUGGUUUAAUGCAAUUGUCUUGAAAACAAGCGCCACUUUUGUGGUUCAUGAGUUCGAAUCUCAUUCUUUCCG